UAUUAAAACAACAACAACAAUAAAUAAGUGGCACCAUACCGGUAUUUUACCUGUUGGGUAAAUUAUUAUUCAUAAUCAUUACUUUUACGAUAGGAUUUUUCUUUUCCGUAAGUUCUGCAAACAGCCACUAGGUUGUACUAUUAAGCUAAAAUUAGCCAAAAGGUUUUGUUUUUGAUUUUGAAUCCUUUCAUUGUUAGCCGCAUGGCAGCAGAUCUUUGGAUAAGUGCAGAUUUUAGGGUAGUUCCUGCUUUUCUUCCGGUACCUGAUGGGGAGGGACAGUACGCUACGUCAGCAGCCGUGUUACUAUAACAGGAGCCUUGGAAAAAACAAAGACAUAUGUUACCAGAUUGAGGCUGUCACAUCUACACUUGAUCCCUGGGUGAAGACUGAUGGUGCUAACAAUAAAAAAGGAA